rnacentral:rRNA from 1 species
GACAGAGGGGGCAAGCGUUGCUCGGAAUCACUGGGCGUAAAGGGCGCGUAGGCGGGAUGGCAAGUCGGUCGUGAAAUCCUUCGGCCCAACCGAAGAACGUCGGCCGAUACUGCCGUUCUUGAGGGAUGCAGAGGAGACUGGAAUUCCCGGUGUAGCGGUGAAAUGUGUAGAGAUCGGGAGGAACACCGGUGGCGAAGGCGGGUCUCUGGGCAUUUCCUGACGGCUGAGGCGCGAAAGCGUGGGGAGCAAACGGG